rnacentral:rRNA from 1 species
AUUGAACGCUGGCGGCAGGCCUAACACAUGCAAGUCGAGCGGAGCGGCGGACGGGUGAGUAAUGCCUAGGAAUCUGACUGGUAGUGGGGGCUAACGUCCGGAAACGGGCGCUAAUACCACAUACUAUCAGAUGAGCCUAGGCCGGAUUAGCGAGUUGGUGGGGUAAAGGCCUAACAGGGCGACGAUCCGGAACUGGUCUGAGAGGAUGAUCAGUCACACUGGAACUGAGACACGGUCCAGACUCCUACGGGAGGCAGCAGUGGGGAAUAGUGGAUAAUUGGCGAAAGCCUGAUCCAGCCAUGCCGCGUGUGGUAAGAAGGUCUUCGGAUUGUAAAGCACUUUAAGUUGGGAGGCGCUACCAACAGAAUAAGCACCGGCUAACUUCGUGCCAGCAGCCGCGGGAAUUC